UACGAAGGGUGCAAGCGUUACUCGGAAUUACUGGGCGUAAAGCGUGCGUAGGCGGUCUGUUAAGUCCGUUGUGAAAGCCCUGGCUCAACCUGGGAAUUGCAGUGGAUACUGGCAGGCUAGAGUACGGUAGAGGAUGGUGGAAUUCCCGGUGUAGCGGUGAAAUGCGUAGAGAUCGGGAGGAACACCCGUGGCGAAGGCGACUUCCUGGCCUGUUCUUGACGCUGAGGCGCGAAAGCUAGGGUAGCAAACGGG
rnacentral:rRNA from 1 species